rnacentral:rRNA from 1 species
GGCGAACGGGUGAGUAACACGUGGGUGAUCUGCCCUGCACUUCGGGAUAAGCCUGGGAAACUGAGUCUAAUACCGGAUAGGAGCCAUUUUUAGUGUGAUGGUUGGAAAGUUUUUCGGUGUAGGAUGAGCUCGCGGCCUAUCAGCUUGUUGGUGGGGUAAUGGCCUACCAAGGCGGCGACGGGUAGCCGGCCUGAGAGGGUGGACGGCCACAUUGGGACUGAGAUACGGCCCAG